GACGAACGCUGGCGGCGUGCUUAACACAUGCAAGUCGAACGGAAAGGCCUGCUUUCCCUUGUGGAUUGCGGGUACUCGAGUGGCGAACGGGUGAGUAACACGUGAGUGAUCUGCCCCCAAAUUGGGUAUAAGCCUGGGAAACUGGGUCUAAUUCCCGAUAGGACUGCAGGGUGGUGCCUGUGGUGGAAAACGAUUUUCUAGUGGUUGGGGAUGAGCUCGCGGCCUAUCAGCUUGUUGGUGGGGUAAUGGCCUACCAAGGCGGCGACGGGUAGCCGGCCUGGGAGGGUGGACGGCCGCAGUGGGACUGAGAUACGGCCCAGACGCCUACGGGAGGCAGCAGUGGGGAAGAUUGCACAAGGGGCGGAAGCCUGAGGCAGCGACGCCGCGUGGGGGAUGACGGCCUUCGGGUUGUAAACUCCUUUCGACCGCGAGGAAGCCACCUGGUUGGAAGGGUGGUGACGGUAGUGGGAGAAGAAGCACCGGCUAACUACGUG
rnacentral:rRNA from 1 species